rnacentral:rRNA from 1 species
ACUGCUCAGUAACACGUGGAUAACCUGCCCUUGGGGACCGGCAUAACCCCGGGAAACUGGGGAUAAUUCCGGAUAACGCAUAUGUGCUGGAAUGCUUUAUGCGUAAAAUGGAUUCGUCUGCCCAAGGAUGGGUCUGCGGCCUAUCAGGUAGUAGUGGGUGUAAUGUACCUACUAGCCGACAACGGGUACGGGUUGUGAGAGCAAGAGCCCGGAGAUGGAUUCUGAGACAUGAAUCCAGGCCCUACGGGGCGCAGCAGGCGCGAAAACUUUACAAUGCGGGAAACCGUGAUAAGGGGACACCGAGUGUCAGCAUCAUAUGCUGGCUGUCCGGGUGUGUAAAAUACACCCGUUAGCAAGGGCCGGGCAAGACCGGUGCCAGCCGCCGCGGUAACACCGGCGGCCCGAGUGGUGAUCGUGAUUAUUGGGUCUAAAGGGUCCGUAGCCGGUUUGGUCAGUCCUCCGGGAAAUCUGAUAGCUCAACUAUUAGGCUAUCGGGGGAUACUACCAGACUUGGAACCGGGAGAGGUAAGAGGUACUACAGGGGUAGGAGUGAAAUCUUGUAAUCCCUGUGGGACCACCUGUGGCGAAGGCGUCUUACCAGAACGGGUUCGACGGUGAGGGACGAAAGCUGGGGGCACGAACCGGAUUAGAUACCCGGGUAGUCCCAGCCGUAAACGAUGCUCGCUAGGUGUCAGGCAUGGCGCGACCGUGUCUGGUGCCGCAGGGAAGCCGUGAAGCGAGCCACCUGGGAAGUACGGCCGCAAGGCUGAAACUUAAAGGAAUUGGCGGGGGAGCAC